UGCAAGUCGAGCGAGAUCUGACAGCACACCGUCAGGUCUAGCGGCAGACGGGUGAGUAAUACUUGGGCAAUCUGCCCUUUAGUGGAGGACAACCUGCCGAAAGGCGGGCUAAUACUCCAUAAGACCACAGGGAUGCAUAUUCCAGGGGUCAAAGCUCCGCAAGGGGCGCUAGAGGAGGAGCCCGAGUCCUAUCAUGGUAGUUGGCGGGGUAACGGCCCACCAAGCCGUUGACGGGUAGCCGGCCUGAAAGGGCAACCGGCCACACUGGCACUGAGACACGGGCCAGACUCCUACGGGAGGCAGCAGUGGGGAAUUUUGGACAAUGGGGGCAACCCUGAUCCAGCGACGCCGCGUGAAGGAUGAAGGUCUUCGGAUUGUAAACUUCUUUUGGAGGGGAUGAAUGAGUCGCCGAAGAGGCGACAGUGACAGUACUCUCUGAAUAAGCCACGGCUAACUACGUGCCAGCAGCCGCGGUAAUACGUAGGUGGCAAGCGAUACUCGGAAUCACUAGGCGUAAAGCGCAGGUAGGAGGUUUGGAAAGUCUCUUGUGAAAGCUCCCGGCUUAACUGGGAGAGGUCAAGGGAAACUACCAGGCUAGAGUGCGGUAGAGGUAGCUGGAAUUCCCGGUGUAGCGGUGAAAUGCGUAGAUAUCGGGAGGAAUACCUAUGGCGAAAGCAGGCUACUGGACCGUCACUGACUCUGAUCUGCGAAAGCUAGGGGAGCAAACAGGAUUAGAUACCCUGGUAGUCCUAGCCCUAAACGAUGCUCAUUAGUGUGGGAGGUAUCGACCCCUUCCGCGCCGUAGCUAACGCAUUAAAUGAGCCGCCUGGGGAGUACGG
rnacentral:rRNA from 1 species